CCAAAGGUUUUAUUUGUAACCUAUUGUUUCCAAUACUUCCGAAAACCACAAAAUAUUAUUUUAAAAGUAUUUU
rfam:Hordeum vulgare subsp. vulgare, WGS project CAJW01000000 data, contig: morex_contig_70294